GUGGCGGACGGGUGACAACGCGUGGGAACCUGCCUAGCAGUAUGGGACAACCGCGGGAAACUGCGGCUAAUUUCGCCUACGCCCGUCUUUGGGAGACCAGGGGCGGGGAAAGAUUGAUCGCUGUUAGAGGGGCCCGCGUCGGAUUAGGUAGUUGGUGGGGUAAAGGCCUACCAAGCCUGCGAUCCGUAGCUGGUCUGAGAGGAUGAUCAGCCACACUGGGACUGAGACACGGCCCAGACUCCUACGGGAGGCA
rnacentral:rRNA from 1 species